CAGUCGCCGCGGUAAUACGGAGGGAGCUAGCGUUAUUCGGAAUUACUGGGCGUAAAGCGCACGUAGGCGGCUUUGUAAGUAAGAGGUGAAAGCCUGGUGCUCAACACCAGAACUGCCUUUUAGACUGCAUCGCUUGAAUCAUGGAGAGGUCAGUGGAAUUCCGAGUGUAGAGGUGAAAUUCGUAGAUAUUCGGAAGAACACCAGUGGCGAAGGCGGCUGACUGGACAUGUAUUGACGCUGAGGUGCGAAAGCGUGGGGAGCAAACAGGAUUAGAUACCCGCGUAGUCCCUGUCUCUUAUAC
rnacentral:rRNA from 1 species